rnacentral:rRNA from 1 species
AAGAGCUCAAAGUUGGAAUCCGGUUGCCCUAGGUAAUUGGAAUUGUAAACUGGAGAGGUGUUUUCCAGGCGAGCCAAGCAAAUAAGUCCUUUGGAACAGGGCAUCAUAGAGGGUGAGAAUCCCGUCUUUGGCUUGAGCAUUGCCUUUUGCGAUACACUUUCAAAGAGUCAGGUUGUUUGGGAAUGCAGCCUAAAUUGGGUGGUAAAUCUCACCUAAAGCUAAAUAUUGGCGAGAGACCGAUAGCGAACAAGUACCGUGAGGGAAAGAUGAAAAGAACUUUGAAAAGAGAGUUAAACAGUAUGUGAAAUUGUUGAAAGGGAACCGUUUGGAGCCAGACCGGCUGCUCUAUAAUCAAUCUCUGCUUCGGUAGGGAUGCACUUGUAGGGCUUUAGCCUGCCAACAGCAAUUUUCUUUGGUGGAAAAAACUAGAAGGAAUGUGGCCCCUCGGGGUGUUAUAGCCUUUUAGAAAAUACACUGAAGGGGAUUGAGGACUGCAGCAAAUGCUUUUGGCGAAAUAACUAGGUGCUUGUGUUAAGGACGUAUAGAAUCUCUGCUUCGGGUGGUGCUAUGCUCUGCGAUGCAACUCGCUUAGAC